UUCUUUUCCCGAAGAAGAAAAAAUGAUGGUAUCCGGGGAAUAAGCACCAGCUAACUCUACGCCAACAGUUGCGGUAAGACAGAGGAUUCAAGUGUUAUCCUGAACGAUUGGGCGUAAAGCGUCUGUAGGUGGAUUUUUAAGUUUGUUGUCAAAUACCAUGGCUCAACCCUGGACAGGUGGUGAAAACUACUAAGCUAGAGUACGGUAGGGGCAGAGGGAAUUUUCGGUGGAGCGAUGAAAUGCAUAGAGAUCGGAAGGAACACCAAUGGCGAAAGCACUCUACUGGGCCGACACUGACACUGAGAGACGAAGGCUAGGGGAGCGAAUGGGAUUAGAGACCCUAAUAGUCCUAGCCAUAAACUAUGGAUACUAAGUGGUUGUACAUAUCGACCUGUGCAACAUUGUAGCUAACACGUUAGGUAUCUCGCAUGGGGAGUACGUUCAGAAGAAUGAAACUCAAAGGAAUUGACGGGGGGCUGCACAAGUGGUGGAGCAUGUGGUUUAAUUCGAUGAAAAGUGAAGAACCUUACUAGGGCUUGACAUGCGCAAAUCCUCUUGAAAGAGAGGAGUGCCUUCGUGACAGGAAUGCGACAUAAGUGGUGCAUGGUUAUCGUUAGCUCGUGUCGUGAGGUGUUGGGUUAAGUCCUGCAACGCGCGCAACCCUCGUGUUUAGUUGCCAAUGUUUAGUUUGGAACUCUGAACAGACUGUCGGUGAUAAGCCGGAGGAAGGUGAAGAUGAUAUCAAGUCAUCAUGCCCCUUAUGCCCUGGGCAACACACGUGCUACAAUGGACCGGACAAAGGAUGGCAACCCCACGAGGUGAGCUAACUUCAAAAACCUUUCCUUAGUUUGGAUUGUAGGUUGAAACUCACCUACAUGAAGCCGAAAUCGCUAGUAAUCAUCGGUCAUCCAUAGGGCGGUGAAUUCGUUCCGAGCCUCGUACACACCGCCCGUCACACUAUGGUAGUUGGCCAUGCCCAAAGUCAUUACCUUAACCGCAAGGAGGGGGUGCCAAAGGCAGGGCUAGUGACUGGAGUGAAGUCGUAACAAGGUAGCCGUACUGGAAGGUGCGACUG
rnacentral:rRNA from 1 species